rnacentral:rRNA from 1 species
GACGAACGCUGGCGGCGUGCUUAACACAUGCAAGUCGAACGGAAAGGCCCUGCUUUUGUGGGGUGCUCGAGUGGCGAACGGGUGAGUAACACGUGAGUAACCUGCCCUUGACUUUGGGAUAACUUCAGGAAACUGGGGCUAAUACCGGAUAGGAGCUCCUGCUGCAUGGUGGGGGUUGGAAAGUUUCGGCGGUUGGGGAUGGACUCGCGGCUUAUCAGCUUGUUGGUGGGGUAGGGGCUUACCAAGGCUUUGACGGGUAGCCGGCAUGAGAGGGUGACCGGCCACAUUGGGACUGAGAUACGGACCAGACUCCUACGGGAGGCAGCAGUGGGGAAUAUUGCACAAUGGGAUGAAGCCUGAUGCAGCGACGCCGCGUGCGGGAUGACGGCCUUCGGGUUGUAAACAGCUUUCGCCUGUGACGAAGCGUGAGUGACGGUAAUGGGUAAAGAAGCACCGGCUAACUACGUG